UUCCUGUCCAACGUUAAUCGGGGCAGGGUGAGUCGACCCCUAAGGCGAGGCCGAAAGGCGUAGUCGAUGGGAAACAGGUUAAUAUUCCUGUACUUGGUGUUACUGCGAAGGGGGGACGGAGAAGGCUAUGUUGGCCGGGCGACGGUUGUCCCGGUUUAAGCGUGUAGGCUGGUUUUCCAGGCAAAUCCGGAAAAUCAAGGCUGAGGCGUGAUGACGAGGCACUACGGUGCUGAAGCAACAAAUGCCCUGCUUCCAGGAAAAGCCUCUAAGCAUCAGGUAACAUCAAAUCGUACCCCAAACCGACACAGGUGGUCAGGUAGAGAAUACCAAGGCGCUUGAGAGAACUCGGGUGAAGGAACUAGGCAAAAUGGUGCCGUAACUUCGGGAGAAGGCACGCUGAUAUGUAGGUGAAGUCCCUCGCGGAUGGAGCUGAAAUCAGUCGAAGAUACCAGCUGGCUGCAACUGUUUAUUAAAAACACAGCACUGUGCAAACACGAAAGUGGACGUAUACGGUGUGACGCCUGCCCGGUGCCGGAAGGUUAAUUGAUGGGGUUAGCCGCAAGGCGAAGCUCUUGAUCGAAGCCCCGGUAAACGGCGGCCGUAACUAUAACGGUCCUAAGGUAGCGAAAUUCCUUGUCGGGUAAGUUCCGACCUGCACGAAUGGCGUAAUGAUGGCCAGGCUGUCUCCACCCGAGACUCAGUGAAAUUGAACUCGCUGUGAAGAUGCAGUGUACCCGCGGCAAGACGGAAAGACCCCGUGAACCUUUACUAUAGCUUGACACUGAACAUUGAGCCUUGAUGUGUAGGAUAGGUGGGAGGCUUUGAAGUGUGGACGCCAGUCUGCAUGGAGCCGACCUUGAAAUACCACCCUUUAAUGUUUGAUGUUCUAACGUUGACCCGUAAUCCGGGUUGCGGACAGUGUCUGGUGGGUAGUUUGACUGGGGCGGUCUCCUCCUAAAGAGUAACGGAGGAGCACGAAGGUUGGCUAAUCCUGGUCGGACAUCAGGAGGUUAGUGCAAUGGCAUAAGCCAGCUUGACUGCGAGCGUGACGGCGCGAGCAGGUGCGAAAGCAGGUCAUAGUGAUCCGGUGGUUCUGAAUGGAAGGGCCAUCGCUCAACGGAUAAAAGGUACUCCGGGGAUAACAGGCUGAUACCGCCCAAGAGUUCAUAUCGACGGCGGUGUUUGGCACCUCGAUGUCGGCUCAUCACAUCCUGGGGCUGAAGUAGGUCCCAAGGGUAUGGCUGUUCGCCAUUUAAAGUGGUACGCGAGCUGGGUUUAGAACGUCGUGAGACAGUUCGGUCCCUAUCUGCCGUGGGCGCUGGAGAACUGAGGGGGGCUGCUCCUAGUACGAGAGGACCGGAGUGGACGCAUCACUGGUGUUCGGGUUGUCAUGCCAAUGGCACUGCCCGGUAGCUAAAUGCGGAAGAGAUAAGUGCUGAAAGCAUCUAAGCACGAAACUUGCCCCGAGAUGAGUUCUCCCUGACUCCUUGAGAGUCCUGAAGGAACGUUGAAGACGACGACGUUGAUAGGCCGGGUGUGUAAGCGCAGCGAUGCGUUGAGCUAACCGGUACUAAUGAACCGUGAGGCUUAACCUU
rnacentral:rRNA from 1 species